rnacentral:tRNA from 2 species
GCCCGAGUGGUGAAAUUGGUAGACGCGCUGGACUCAAAAUCCAGUGGGGAGACUCAUGCCGGUUCGAGUCCGGCCUCGGGCACCA